rnacentral:lncRNA from 1 species
UCAUCCAGUUCUACCCUUCUUCGACUUCCAUCACGGCAUUUGCUUUACCGAAAGCAGAAAUGUUAACGUGUUGUAUGUACACCUCAUCUGGGAGCUGCUCCAACUCUUUCCUAGUCAAUCGGCUUAGCAUGUCUGCCUCUUCAUUUUCCUCCCGAGGUAUUCUCUGGUAUCUUACCGUAAUCCCCCGGCUCUUGAGCUCGGCUUCUAUGGCCCUUACCUUCGCCAGAUAAUUCUGCAUAGUAGGGUCUCUGGCCUGAUA